GUGCACGGUGCAGUGGAAGAGGGAGUUGCGGUCCUCCCGUGUCACCUUGCUGAACAGAGUGCUCACCACCGUGUACAGCCCGUUCGACUCGCGGACCAACGUGGUCAGGAUCUUUGUCUUGUCCUCCUCCUGCAGCAGCGGCUCCCCGUUCUUGUACCAGGUGAUGUUGGGGGACGGGAAGCUGUUCUCGCUCGUGCACUGAGCAAUCUUCAACAUGUCAUUGCUUUGUGCAGGGAUGCCGGCCGAGUUGGGUGUGAUCUCAGGGGGUGCGGGGAUCUUGUAGGUGUAGAGCUCGGUGCGGCUCUCCCCCACGCCCUGGCUGUCCGCCCCAACCUGGCAGAUGAAGGUCCUGGCGUUG
rnacentral:lncRNA from 1 species